GGCCAGACUCCUACGGGAGGCAGCAGUGGGGAAUAUUGCACAAUGGGGGAAACCCUGAUGCAGCGACGCCGCGUGAGCGAAGAAGUAUUUCGGUAUGUAAAGCUCUAUCAGCAGGGAAGAAAUUGACGGUACCUGAGUAAGAAGCUCCGGCUAAAUACGUGCCAGCAGCCGCGGUAAUACGUAUGGAGCAAGCGUUAUCCGGAUUUACUGGGUGUAAAGGGAGCGUAGGCGGCCUGCCAAGUCUGAUGUGAAAUGCCGGGGCUCAACCCCGGGGCUGCAUUGGAAACUGGCAGGCUGGAGUGUCGGAGAGGCAGGCGGAAUUCCUAGUGUAGCGGUGAAAUGCGUAGAUAUUAGGAGGAACACCAGUGGCGAAGGCGGCCUGCUGGACGAUGACUGACGCUGAGGCUCGAAAGCGUGGGGAGCAAGCAGGAUUAGAUACCCUUGUA
rnacentral:rRNA from 1 species